CCUCUGGGGGCAGAGGGCAGCGGCGAGGACCUGCCUCCCAGAGGCCCCCAGGAUCACCCACAGAGCUGGGCAGGGUUGCAUUUUUCCGCUUGGGGUGCCUGCGUUCCCGGGCAACAUCAACCACUUCCUGCACUGGCCUGAUUUGAUGUUUAGUCACCACUUGAGGCCACACGCUCCAACAGAAAAGCCACAGGAUUCCACAUCUCAAACCCCCAAACCCAAACCCAGAUUGUGGUCGGUGAACAGGGAGACAGCCUGUGCCAGGACCCCGGGAAGAGGGGCAUCUGGGAGCUAGAGGGAUGAAUCACGGUCCACCCCUCUCCUGGACCAGCGGCCGGGUCCAGCUCAGCAGCGCAUCUUGCGCACCUGCAAAUUCAGCUCUUGCUUUCACAGACCCCAACCCAUAUCAUUUCCCCAAGGACCCGGUCCAGGCACUGGGAAGAGUGCACAGGUUGUGACCGCAGGUGGCAGAGUGCCGGUGCCACCACUCCAUGCUUGGCAGCCUUGGGGCAUGCUGGUCUUCUCUGAGCCUCUCAUCUGGACAUGGGCCGCCCCCCCACCAGGGGUUAGUGAGACUUGUUAGGCCCAUGUAACCCCUCAGUGCGUGUUUGGGGGCCUGACAGUGGCUCAGGAAAGGAUCCACCCUCUGGAACCCCCAGCCUGGCCUCAGAGGAGCUCCAUCGGGCAUUACCACCUCCCAGCUGGAUGACCUUGAGCAGGUGACUUGACCUCCCUGGGUCUCAGUUUCCUCAGUCUCUAAAAUGAGGACAAAAAUAAGGCUUCGUGGGGAUGAAAGCAGUGGUGGGGCACGUGCUGUGCUCAGGAGGGAUCCUGGGGCGGUUCAUCUCAUGCCCCCUCUCCUCCUGGUCCCUUCAGGUCCUCCCCGCCUUCUUCCGCUCUAGCACCACCCCCUCGCUUCUCCUCUCCCCCCGCCACCCCCGCCUGGCGUUCUCUUUUUUGCCCCCUUACUCCCCACACUCCCACUUCAUUUUCUUUCCUCUCCCUCCCUUUCUCACUAUCAGUUUCGUUUCUCUGUUUGGUGAAGCCCUGAUGGGUGUGUCCCAGGCCCCGGCCCGGCCUGCUCUCCCGCCGGCCCCGCCCUGCCCGCUUCUCAGCUGCUCAAAAGCAAUUUUUCAAGAACAAAAAGGUCAGCACGUCCAGGACUAAUCAAUUCUCGGAGAGCUCCUGCCGCCACCGCCGAGGGAGCCGGGGACCGGCGGCCCCGCCUUUCCCGCCAGCCCCCUCCCACCAGCUCCAUCACUUUUAUUGCUCCAUGAUGCCUGUCAUUAGCAGGGUGUUUGAGAUGCCCCACAGUGUUCUUACAACAUAAAACCCGGGCGACUUGCAGAGGGGGGGGCCUGACGCGUUGAUGGCCACUGGCGGCUCCGGACAGUAACAGCCCAGCUGAUGGAUCAGCUGCAAAGGGGGGCCAGGACGACAAGCAUCCAGCCCCUUGUUCAAAAGCUCGGCUGCAAAGAGACACGCUGGAAGAGCUGGGGCCCCACAUGCCUGCUCUCAGCCCUGGCCCUCAGUCCUGCAAAUCCCCCAUCAUUGUGACCUUGGGCACCUGCCCACUGUCACCCCUUCCAAACUUUUCCUCUCAAGGCUGCGCUGGUCCCCACUGCAUCCCUGUUGGGGGGCAGAAUACUCCUUCCUGAGCAUCCACCCACCCCCCAACACAAUGCCAGGCCCCACCCCCCUCCAACACAGUGAGGCCGUUCCAUAGUGCCAUUACGGAUGGGAAACUGGAGACCCAAUGUCACCAAAGUGGGAAAGAGCAGUUGCAGAUCCAAACAGUUAUGUGACCUGCCUGGGAUGAUACGCAUGAGCUGUGCCCAGUGGGGAACCAGGUCUGCCGUUCCAGGCCCCCAGCUGUCCUUGUCCCAUAUCGUCUUGAAGUCUGAUGCCCGUGACAACAGCAGCUAAAAUGUAGCACGCCUUCCAGGGCAGACCCCACACUCAGCACUUGGCGUGGAUGCCAGCCACAUCCCCACGACGACCCUAUUAUGAGACUUCUUACACCCAUUUUACAGAUGGGGAAACCGACACAGGGCACUACAGUACUGUGCUCGAGCCCACAUGGCUGGAUACACGCGGGGGACUAGACCCCAAAUGUCUGCGUCUUGCUCUUUUAAAAAUGGCUUAGGAUAAGAAAUAUCCAAAAUUGGCAAAUCCACAGAUGCAGAAGGCAGAUUGGUGGUCGCCAGGGGCUGGGGGCGGGGAACAGGGAGAAACUGCUUAAUAGGUAUGGGGUUUCCUUCUGGGCAGUGAGAAUGCUCUGGAACUAGAUAGUGGCGGUGGUUGCACAGCAUCGUGAAUGUACUAAAUGCUACCGAAUCGUUUGCUUUGACGUGGCUAACUUUACGUUCUGUGAACUUCACUUCAAUAAAUUUUUUUAAAAAAUGGCUUAGGUUUUUCUG
rnacentral:lncRNA from 1 species